CAGUUAAUUAGUUAAAAUCAUUUAUUUUUCUCAUAAUAACUAUUUAAUCACAAUUCCAUUUUUUUGUUGUUGUUGUUCCAGAGAAUGUGUGUCUUUUUAUGCAAGACCCUCAGUUGGAUCACCAGCACUAAAAAAGGCAGGGGAAGAAAGCCUAACUUAAACCAAAGAAGCUAAAACAAAAUCCACCCCAAGUGCUGAGGGCCAUUACCAAGU
rnacentral:lncRNA from 1 species